rnacentral:lncRNA from 1 species
CAAAGCUUGUCAGGCAACCUCUCCACCGUUAGGCUUAACUGAAGUAACUGCAAGUGGUAAAGAGUACAUAAUGAUCUAGGCAAUUCAGAAAUUAACGUUCUGAUAAGGUUCAAAUACCGAAGGUGCUUCAGCCUACCAAUAGAUUCAGGCAACUUACUACUGUUGUAAAAUGACAAAUACAAUACACGUAACUUCUUCUGGUUCCGCAGCAUCUGAUCAAAAAUAUCGCUUGCAUCAUCCAUUAGUGGAUCAAUGCAGAUGAUAGUGCGUAAAUUCUGUAGCUUGUAGAUAAUUUGCUUAUGCUUUUGCAAACUCUCAACCUGAAGAGAGAGAUGUCGAACAGUGCAUGGUACUUCUCUGAUAUUAUCCUCUUCUAAUCUGAAGCAGUCUUCUACAGAGAGUGACUGUGCCAAAUCAUGAAGGAUGUCGUGCAUGAUAUAGUAUGAAUAAUACUCUGUUUCAGAAACCAAUUGAAAGAAAGACCCAGAGAGCAUCUCAUUGAAAUAAUCCCUCCCGACAUCUUCUAUUGUCAUGCUACUCAAAUUACAUGAACCAACAAGCCCUUCUGCCACCCAAAGGUGAACCAACUCAUCAGGUUUAUAUUUAUGACCUUUUGGGAAUAAGCUGCAAUACAAGAAGCACCUCUGCAGACGUGGAUCUAACUUCUUGUAACUCCACAAGAGAACUGUGAAGGGCUCACUUAAAUCUCUGAGCUUUAGAGCACCUUUCCAUUCAGCAGUAUCUUUUUUUGUGCUCAACCGGGAACCAAGAACUUUUGCUGCCAAAGGACAUUGUCCAAGCCUUUUAGCAAUCUCCACUGCAGUAUGUUCCAGCUUAUUGUGCAAAAGUUGAUCUCCAAUUUUUGCUCCAGAGAAAGCAUGGUGUUUGAAGAGUGCCAAGAAAUUGGCAUCAUCCAUUUUUUCCAAAUGAACAACUUGUUGUUGAUCACAGAAAACAGCGGCCGGAAGUGUUUCACGCCGAGAAGUCACCAAAACUUUGCUUCCCAUCUGUUUAGAGACAAAUGGAUCCAGGAGCUGAAACCACUCUGUCUCGCUGUCUGAUUUUUCGAACCAAACAUCAUCCAAGACAAGUAGGAAUUUCUGUGACUUCUGCAGUAUGUCACGUAAUUUGCACUGGAGAGUAUCAAGAUUAUCAAUACAUGGGCACUCCCCAUUUGUUGCAGACUCAAUAAUCUCCCUUGUGUGACGACGGACAUCAAGCUUGCGUGAGAUGCAGACCCACAUCCUGAUAUCAAAGCCUUCUUCUAUCCUCUUGUCAUUGUAGACAUACUGCACUAAGGUGGACUUCCCCAUUCCGCCCGCACCAAUAAUGGCCAAACUGGAGUACCUAGUCGAACUUGCCUCGUCAGCUGCUGUCUUGCCAAGAAGAAAAUCUAAUAUACGAUCGCGAUCCUUGUCACGACCGAAAACCUUUGAUGUGGAAAGUGAUGUCACUGUGGUUGGAGGAACAAUGGUUGCUGGUACAGCUGGCCACCCUAAACCUGUAGUAUUUCCAGGUGCUAUGCUAAGAAGAUCCCGAAGCUCCUUGGCUUCUGUUAGGAUAGCUUUGAUCUCAUUCAUCUUGCUAAUUAGCCUUCUAUUCUCAGGGAGCAAGUUGCGUGCCUUGCUCUUAGCAGUAUGAAAAGGCUUCAUGAUUGUUGAUGCAAUGGAGGAGGUUUCAUCCUCUCCUAGCAGGGGAUCUUUUCCGCUCUUGGCCUUGCGCUUGAGGAGAUUGUACUCAUGCUCGUCCAGCAGGUCCUCAGCAUCAUAAAAGGCUUCUUUGAGCCGCCGAAGCCAUGCCUCGAGCUUGCCCUUAUGGGGGCUCUUCUCUGCUGCUUGAAUCACCAGAUCAAAUUGUGGCAGGACGGUGGCUUCUAGUUUUUGGAGCUCACGCACCAUGUCCACACUGAGGUAAGCUGAAGCUUCGUUAAGAAGCUUGUUGAAAAUGGGCGAUGCUGCCCACCUUAACCCAGCGAGUGCCAAGUCUGCCAUGGAAUUGGAGUGGUUUGUGCUUCUCCUUUGUGGGUGUGGACUGGAGAGAUCUUGGAUGAAUAUUUCCAGGUGAAAAGAAGAGGACAAUUGAUUGGCAAUGGCACGAAAUGAUUGUGUUUUUCUUGGAAAUGUAAAUGAUGGGAAACAAGCAAAGAGUACAAUUAAUAUCUUUUUUCCUUCCUUUUUUGGGGUUUUCUAUUUUUUCUUUCUUUUUUUUUGUCGUAGGAGUGAAAUGAAUAAGUUGAAGAUGCAGGGUGCAAGGGUCUGGUGGCGAAGAGAAAGAUUAAACAGGAAAAGAAAGAUGAAUGGAUGGACAAUGGAAGCUGUUUUCUUUUUUAUGUAUGGACGAGGUGCUUCUGCAGAAGGCAAGUUACUGAUAAGGACAACAACGGAAUGAAGAAAACCUGGAAUUAAGAAGACGCAUAGAAUUAGUGAUUCUGAUUGGGAAAAUGGAAGACAAAUUGAUUAUUUUUCUUUCUCAUGUGCUACAGCACACAGAAUGAAAUAGCUACUAACAAGUUAGCACAACAAACUAAGGAGAUUGGUGAUCUUACAUGGUUUUGCGGGAUGAAGUUACACCAAGUAAAAAAAAUCAAGGGCGCUGGGAGCAGAGUUGCUGGAGCCAGUGUUGACAAGGAGCACGAGGUGGCCGGAGUGGUGGACGGGACUCUGGAACAAGCACUGCACUUCAAGAGAACAAACAGGCAGUCAGCCAAGAAUAAGGUAUAUACGCUGGCAGCGAAGGAGGGAAAGGAAGAAGCAAGGAACAAUACCGGAAAAGCUUGGCAGUGCUGAUUCCUGGUGAUGAUCUUUUUAUUAAGAGAUUGCUGGUGAUGAUCUGUUCUGCAGUUUCACGGUGAGGACACCGAUGGUGCUGCUGGCCUUCUGCUGCUUGCUGGGAAAAGGAAGAAGAAAGGAAAUUGGAAGGUGGAGAAAGAGGAGUAGACAAGGUCUAUCGAUUGGGACUUCUCUGAAAUAGGAGUUUGUUGGGACCUGCAUUUGGUGUGAAGUACUAGUCAGCAUAAACACAGACAAAGGAAGCUUCUGGGUAGCUUCACUAGGUUUCUAUCCUUGAGAAAGGAACGGUUCAACCAUAUCCCCCCUUGCAAUAAAUGAAUGAAGGCGAACACAGAGUAGACAAGGUCUAUGAAUUCAUCAAAAACGUCAUCAGCAGUUUUGCAACUCAAACACUACCUAAACAACUCGUUGGAAAACAUAGCCCAAACGAAAAGCAAGGCGCACAUACGGCCACCUCACCUGUAUCCAGGAAAGGGUGGAAUGUGGUCACCUCUCACAUGGAAAAUCACAUAAGAUGAUUUUUUUUUUUAUUCCAUAACCCAUAUAAGAACUGAUCAAAACACAAAAGGAUAGAAAAAUUUUGACUGACCACUGACAGUGUCUUGCACUAGUACUGCUGCUUCUUUGUGAAAGGAAUCAGCCUUGACGCCUAUGCUACUGCUCGUCGGUGCUGCUGUACUAGGGGCUGUGGUGCCUGUGUCGCCUCUCCUCCCCUUCCUCUGCCGUGUGGUCGGUUCCUCCCUUGAGCACGGCCGGCGCGCGCCGCAGCUGCCGCAGUAAAAGUAAUCUCCGAGGCGGCGAGACCUGACUCCGGCAACCCCGGCAACAUGGAGGGUUCAGCGUUCAGCCGUCUUGUGCGGCGCCGGUGCUGGAACACAACACAAGAGAAUGGCCGAACGGGGGACGGGGAAAUGCUGAACAGAACAGGAACGGAUAUUGCGGUUUUGGACUCGGUAACUAACUGUCUUCAUCGCUCGUUUGAAGCAGAGCAGCAGGAACAAUGGCUGCGCAGUCCCCUUCUUCUGCUUGAAUAAGGCUAUUCCAACAGGAGACCCAAAUGUAAAAUCUCUACUAUAAUGGAUCAAUUAGAAUUAUAUUAGAUCCCCAAGUAAAACCUUUUCCACUGAGAGCCUUCAACCAUUGUGCACCUAGUAAAAUUAAAAUGUACACAGUAAAUUAUCUCUGUUAAAAUCAAGGGCUACAAAAUAAUUGCUCAUAGACCUCAACUCAAUCUGAUGGCCAUGAUCACUUCCAGGCUUCAACGCGACUCCCAGGCUUCAACACGCUCGCGUCCCUCGACGCAUGGCCUCCACCUCCCCAAGCGCGACUCUCAGGCUUCAACACGCUCGCGUCCCUCGACGCAUGGCCUCCACCUCCCAAAGCGUGACAGGCAGGAUUCGAUCCCUGCUACCACGAAAAAAAGAAAAACUAAAAAAUAGCGUAGCAGCAUGCACGGGAGGAGGCGCACCCGCCGUUCCCGGCGGCGAGGUGGCACGGGAUCGACGGAGAAACUAGGGGCUGCGGCUGAGGGCUUGGCUCCUGCAGAGCUUCGGUGGCUGCGCAGGUCGACGACAGACCCCGGCCAGGGGCGGUAGCGGCGGCAGCGGCGGAGGCGCGGUCACGGCGACCCAGCCAGCGGCGGAGGAAGGCGAGGCAGACACAUUGGUGGGAUUGGUUGGGUGCGGUCGCGAGGUCUCGGAGGAGCUGCUGCGCAUGCUGGUGGAAAGCUAGGUAGUCUUGAGAUAGCGCACUACGCGCACGAGGUGUUCGUGCAAAUGCUUGGCACGGCCUUGUCAAAUCCUUUGCUCCCCUCCGACGUUGCUGCCAUGGACUCCACGCUAGCACCUGAAAUGGCCCCCGAUGCCUCCUAUUCCGCCGCCACCGCUGUCCCGACCGCCGAGGAUCUCGUGGGGGCGUGGCAGUGAUGACCUUGGAUGAGCAGUUCGAUCUGCUGCAGGGAUUAGGGAGAGAAGUGCAUCCAGGAGGACGAGUUCAGGCGCCUGCUUGAUAACAAGCCUGUCCCCAUCUACUACGAUGGCUUCGAGCCUUUAGAGGCAUGCACAUCGCACAGGUUUGACCUUCUGUCUUCAGCCCCUGCCUCCAGGGCAUCAUUAGUAGAAAAAAUGAUAAGUUUGCAUGAUUCAGCUAAAGAUAGAUUUGGCUGCAUCGCCAUUCUAAUUUUGUAAUAGCAUGUAGAAAGAGACCAUCAUUUAUAAUGGCACAUAAGGAAAAGACUUAAAUAAAUUGUGUGAAGGUUUUAAUAGCAUGUAGAAAGGGACCAUCAUUUAUAAUGGCACACAAGGAAAAAGCUCAAAUCAAUUGUGUGGAGGUUCAAUGAAGCUACAAAAAUAUAAAAGAACAUAGAGACCACAUGACAAGCAUUUACAGAGGGAUAUCAAAUACCAGCAACAAGAACAAGAGAACGGAAGCACAUUUUUUAAUUUAGAAACACGUGACAGCAAUUGUUUAUUUUUUUCUUUUUAAUUAAAAAAGAUAAAGGAACGAAAUAUUCCAGACUCCAGUUCGCUUCACGAAAAAUGAAAACCAUAGCCACAGUUUAUAUCAUCAUAGGUUAUUUAUUAGAGACUCAUUCUAUUAGAGGAAAUAGGAAUACAUGUAAGCAAUUAAUUAUGGGCGUUGCUAAGGUAUAACUCUUACCUAGUAAGAGGUAAGAGUUCAAAUAAAUCCGAGCCAUUGAAUAUUAGAAGAAAUAAAGUAAGUAGUAAAAAGGAAAAUAAAUAACAUAUUGUUUCCGUUUAUUUACAUGUGUACAUGCAAUUUGUUUCCUUUUAGUUGCAACCAACGACUACAACUUCAUGGAAGACCAUCGGGCAAGAGAUGGUUUAGAGUCAAAAUUCAACUUUCCAAGACAUGCUAUUUACGUUUCUUAUUAAUUGCGCAUGGUCACAUUACAACUAAAAAAAUGUUACAUCACAAUCACCUACACUAUGGAUUGAAUAAGCUUUACUUUUUUAUAAUGUCGAAAACGAAAUGAAUUUAAAUUUCUCGUUCAUUCGUCACGUUCCAACAAAUUAAUUAAAUAAAUUUUACAAAAUCAUUUUGGGUUACAUAUUAUAAAUCAUUGUGUUAUUAUAUAUACAAUAAAAUAAAAUGGUUGCACACGUGUGAACUAUGUCACCCCAUAGUGUGUCCAUGUCCAUGUUAUUAAAAACUUAAGAUCAUGUUAGGAAAGUUAGAUCAUGCAUGCAUAUUAUAUACAUAAUACGAAGGUAUUUUCCUUAUAUAUCUUAUUACCUCUUGCAAGGUAAUAUUUGACAAUUGCUACUCAGAUCGACGAUUCACAGUUAUUUAGGUGUACCAUAGCAAGACCCAUUAUUCAUAAUCAAGGAAUAACAGUACAAGUGAAAUGAUAUAAAUGGAACCACCUUCGUUCCUCGCAAGUACCAACCGUGGACUGUGGAGGGUCGCCAAACAGAGAACCAAGGGUACGGCAUCACCAACAGAUCGGCUUCUGAUCGACUUCAGCUGGGUGGUGAGUCUGCAGAGACGGGGGCGCUGCGGCAUUGGGGUCACCACGAGGUGUCUGUUUAGAACAUGAAAUGAAAUGUUUUAAAUAAAAUAUUCGAAACCUUAUUCAUUGUGCUGGAGAAUGAAUCAGUGAAACCUAUACCUUCUCUCAUUUCUUUCAAGCGGCGAUAUUAAACGAAGUGCUUCCAGCGGAUGUGUGAAAUCUGUGGCCAGCUUUCUCCAUCAGGCUCUCGGCAGUUCUUCUUCAAGUCGUCACAACCAUAUAUAGUUAUGCGCUGGAGGGAGGAUGGCAGAACUGGUAAAGAUGUUAUGUUGGGGCAAAUGCCGAUAUCAAGACUCUCCAGACUGGAGAGAAAUUUUAGAUUUCCUGGCAGGGACUCCAUUUUGCAAUCCCAAAUGUCCAGGUGCUUGACAGAUAAGAGAUUUGCACAUUCUCCAAAUGAAGCUGACGGCUCCUUGCAAUCAUGAAGAGCAAGAUUUGGUGGGACUAUAAACCCUUCAGCCUUGAGCAUCUGGUUGAGCAGUACGAAACUACUAACGCUGAGCCAUUUCUGGACACGAAACUGUGAGAUGCACUUGGCAGUGAGGUUUGGAACAUCUAUCAAACUUAGGCCAUCAAGUUGCCAGGAAGACAAGCCUUCAAGAGAGCACAGAUCGGGGAGACGAAGUAGAGAUAAUGAUUCAAGGGAGGUCAGGUGGCCAAUCGAUAAGGACGGGAAGCUUCUGCAACAUGCAAUGGAAAGAGAUUUCAGGUGUGGCAAGCCAUUAAUGAACGAAUCGGCUGCCAGAAUGCAGCCACAUAUGUAGAGGUCUCCAGCAAGGUUGAAUGACAUAGAUUCUACUGCACCUGCCAGAUCUAAAGAAGGGCAAUCAAUACAAUAAAGUCUGGAAAGAGAUGGAGCAGCAUGUGAGCCCCCCAGUGAUCUGAGACACCAACAACCUCUUACAUCCAACAAGUCAAGCUUUGUCAAAUGCUCAAACACCUCUUCUGACGGAAGUGCACUUAAUGCCAUAUUAUAUUCCAGUCUUAACGUUGUCAAUGAAGUGAGGCCACCAAGGCAAAUAGCUAAAGCUUCAUCUGUAAUACUGCAUGAAGAAAGAACAAUACUAACAAGUCCAAAUGGUAGAACCAGUGGCAGCUCCAUGGUCCUUCCAUAAAUGACUCUUAUCCUCUGCUCAUGGCAAAAAAGCCAUGCCUUGAUCAUAUUUUCUUUCUCCAAUAUUAUAUCUCCUCCUUCCUUUAGGCCACUUUCAAUAAUUUGAAGAUGUUGUGAUAUAUCAUCACCCAUCUGUGUUGUCAACUGCUUCAGUGAUGAAUAGUCCUCUAAAAGUACUCUCCUAAUAUCUGAUCCCGAAUUGACCUCCCACAUCGAUGCAAGUUUAGAUGCCAGGUCCUCCGUGUUCAUUAUAUUUUCCCUCAAAUCAUGCUGAUCGAGCUCAUUUUUGGAGACAAACAUAAGCAGUGGGCACGUCUGAAUUGACAAUUUUGUAAGCAUUGCUGGAAGACAAGGUAAUAUCUUCAAUUUUGGAACAUUUUUUAGACACAGCCUAGUGCAAUGCCGUAGGAGCUCAGUAUUAGGUGGUAGGCCUUCUAACAAAGUGCAGCCAUUAAGCUUAAAACAUUCCAAAUUUUCAAAAUAGGAUGGCUCAAGUAACCACCUUGGAUAUGUGCCAGAUUUGUAGCCUUUGAUUGUGAGGCCACUAAGUUGGGGUGACGGUCUCAGACCUUCUAGAACAUCGAGAUGUAAAGUAUCCGCUGCAUCCAUUCCCUUCUCGCUACUCCAGGCAAGCCGCAACUUUUUAAGGCGAUUCUUCUUAUAUAGCAUGGACUCUAAGGCUUCUUCCUUUUCUGAAACAUUCUCAAGAUUUUCUACUUUUAAACUGCCACCAAGCUCAUUCAAGUCCUUCAGCUGCCACAACUCGCACCCUUGCUUUUUUUGCACAGAAAAGGUAUGCAUGUGUUGUAGCGAAGUUAGCUUGCCUAUAUUGGGAAUUUGAUGAAUAGAUUUUCCAGACAAGGUAGGUACGCAAUCGAUGUAUGCCCCCAAAUGUCGUAACUUACUUAAAUUGCAAAGCUUGUCAGGUAACCUCUCCACCAUUGUGUUUAACUGAAGUAACUGUAAGUGGUAAAGAGUACAUAAUGAUCUAGGCAAUUCAGACACUGAUGUUCUGAUGAGGUUCAAAUACCGAAGGUGCUUUAGCUCACCAACAGAUUCAGGCAACUUACUACUGUUGUAAAAUGACAAAUACAAUACACGUAACUUCUUCUGGUUCCGCAGCAUCUGAUCAAAAAUAUCGCUUGCAUCAUCCAUUAGUGGAUCAAUGCAGAUGAUAGUGCGUAAAUUCUGUAGCUUGUAGAUAAUUU